rnacentral:rRNA from 1 species
UACAGAGGUCUCAAGCGUUGUUCGGAUUCAUUGGGCGUAAAGGGUGUGUAGGUGGCGCCGUAAGUCGGGUGUGAAAUUUCGGAGCUUAACUCCGAAACUGCAUUCGAUACUGCGGUGCUUGAGGACUGGAGAGGAGACUGGAAUUCAUGGUGUAGCAGUGAAAUGCGUAGAGAUCAUGAGGAAGACCAGUGGCGAAGGCGGGUCUCUGGACAGUUCCUGACACUGAGACACGAAGGCCAGGGGAGCGAACAGG